ensembl:lncRNA
AUGCAUUGUGGGAAAAAGGACCCAAAAAAGGAGGGAAAAGUCAGAGCAAGAGCAGCCAUUAGACUUCUUUCAGGCUUCAUCUGGAUUUUGGACUCUGGAGUUGGAGAAACUGCCUUCAAAUUUCCGUGUGCAGAGCAAUGGCCAAGAAAAGGAAAGACUUCCCUGAGUGAAAAAGAAGAUGAAGAUACAAGCUGGUGAUGAUCCAGAGCAGCUGGUCUCAGGAAAUGAAGAAAAACCCUGAUCACCUUUUCCACAGAAACAAGGUGAGUUUAAUGUUGUGGUUGAUUUAGUUUUUCAAGGUAUGUAUGUUACUUCAAUUAUAAACUGCUUUUGUUGCAACAGAAUGUCGUUAUGUGUAUGCAACUCUACGUGAAUUAUAAUCCUUUGUAGGGCUGUGUGAUAUGACCAAAAUCUCGCAUCCCAAUAUAAGACACAUCUCUCCUGAUAACGAUAUAUGUCACAAAAUAGUGCAUUUUCUGUAAAUUCUGUGAUUCACGGGCAACUCGACUUAUGUGAAGUGUUUUCAGUUGGGCGUCGUGUACCUGGAGUCGAGUGUUUUGACCGAUGCAUGAAACUAUACAUUUUUAGACAUGAGUUUAAACGGCCACCAUUUUCUUUCUGAGUAUUUGUUACAUGGCGUGCUGCGAGGAAAAGCCUGUUCUAACGUUUGAGUCUAAGGAUUAUUUUGAGCACUUGACGGCUCUUUUUUGCUUUUCAUUCGUAAACUCUCUCGAAACUCUUUCAUGUGAUUCUUGUGUAGGUGGUUAAAGAGGUUUGUCGUGUUUGGUGGUGGGGACCAGUUUGUGUCAGACUUUUCAUAACCAAACCAUGUCCAUGCUACAGAGGUAGCCCCUCAUUUAACAAUAAGGUCCUCGAUUUGUUUUGACUGGUCCAUCUGCUUGGAGCUAUCUGGUUCUGCCUCAUCCUUGCUGGCCAUGCUGGUAUUCUCUGUGCCUUCAUCUGCGUGGUGACUGUAAGCGCCAUUUAUAGUUACUUGAUGUUUUUAUUUGAGGUCAUUUGUUUGAUGCAUAUUCUGAAAUUUUAUGUUUGAGAAUAAUGUAUAUCAUUUCAGUUCAUUUUGAAAAGUCUCAACAGAAACUUGAGCUUUAUUGUGAAAGGUUUAUGUGGAAGUCCGUCCAUAGUGUGGUUAUUGUAAGUAUAAGAGAAGGAGAGAACUUUAAGAAAUAAUAUAGCCACUACAGUGACCAUCAAAACCAUGAAAAAAAUAUUGCCGUAAACAGUUUAUUUUGCAACACCAUAAAACAAAUGAUAGCGUAUAAUAUGAAACGAUACAUUUUUAUAUCGUCAUCUGAUAUAUAUCGUCAUAUCGCACCAUCCUAAUCCUUUUUUUGUUUAUGUUGUUUAUGUUCAAGGUAAAAAAGUUAUAAAAAUACAAACUUUUUAAAAAUGUCUUGUUUCUCUUUUUUUCCUCAGAAUAAAUUGCGACUAGUCUCAAUGGCUGAGAUGGAGGAGGAACACAGCGACACGUUAACCCGACUGCUGCAGUUCCUGUAUGAACUGAGCAACUCUAAAAAUCCAAGGAAAAAGCUGAGUGUAUUUUAUUUAAAGCUCAGAUGGACCUUGAUGGACUAACAUGCAGGCUGCAUUCAGGACUUUGUCACACUGGUAUAUGAAGAGUGGUAACAAGAGAAAUUGUGCACACACAAUGUGUCACUUUAUGCUUGCUCUUCUCCAGCCUCUGGUGUCACUUUGUAGUAAUUAGUCUUACUAUUGUCUUAUUUGUUGUGAUUUAGGGUGUGUGCGCACAAGCAGAGGUUUUUGUUUGUAACCGUAACCUCAUUUUCAGAGCCUUGUCUAACAUUUAAUGGUCGUGAAAUAUGUCAGACUUUUUCCUCUACUUAAACAGCUAAGAGCAUUUGAACACAGUGGAGAAAAAGGUGUGCAUUAAGGAUUUUGAACUAUGAUGUUUAAGUGUUGUCACUGCUGAGGAUCCUUAUUCACUACGCUGCUGUUUACAGUUUAACUUUUCAUCAGAACAAGCACUUCUAAUUGUACUUUGCUCCUCACUGACAAAACAAGUCCAGUAAAUGCACUUUUAUCUUCAAGUUUGGGACAGUAAUCUGUCUUAAUUUAUUUUGUGCUUUAGUUAUCAUAUGUGGAAAAGUUCUGUGGUUAUCUAUCCGUCCUGUUCGCAUAAACCCAAAGUUCAGGAACAUCUUCUUUAGAUCUGUUCAGUUUUAUUCAUGUGGCACCACUUAAACAGUCAAGUAUGUUAUAUUGUAAGGUAAAGACCCCAAAGAGUUAAUCUCAGACAAAUGUUCACACAAAUGUGAAUUACAUUCACUUCAUUAAUGAAGUAAAUGCAAUUCAGUAAUCAAAUGUGUUUGGCUAUAACUGACUACAUGUGUAUACUGUACCAUAAGUGGACAGACAUGGACGUAAACCACAC